GUUAAGUGUGAUCUCUAUAUUUCACCGUGGUUGCUUGUAUUGGCUUAGUUUAUUUGAGGAUAAGGUUUCUGAGUUUAAAAGUGAAGGGUAGGCCUUGCAAGGGAGACUGAUAGCGGAAGGAAAUGAGUUUGAGCAUUGCUUAACAGGAUAUACAUCCAGUGUUCAGCCACUAUUCCAAACAUGAACUUUAAGUGGUACAUUGAACUCGGAUACAUUAUAAUCUACCUAAUUAUCUGAGA